AACGAACGCUGGCGGCAUGCCUAACACAUGCAAGUCGAACGAGACCUUCGGGUCUAGUGGCGCACGGGUGCGUAACGCGUGGGAACCUGCCCUUAGGUUCGGAAUAACUCCCCGAAAGGGGUGCUAAUACCGGAUAAUGUCUUCGGACCAAAGAUUUAUCGCCUUUGGAUGGGCCCGCGUUGGAUUAGCUAGUUGGUAGGGUAAAAGCCUACCAAGGCGACGAUCCAUAGCUGGUCUGAGAGGAUGAUCAGCCACUCUGGGACUGAGACACGGCCCAGACUCCUACGGGAGGCAGCAGUGGGGAAUAUUGGACAAUGGGCGAAAGCCUGAUCCAGCAAUGCCGCGUGAGUGAUGAAGGCCUUAGGGUUGUAAAGCUCUUUUACCCGGGAUGAUAAUGACAGUACCGGGAGAAUAAGAUCCGGCUAACUCCGUG
rnacentral:rRNA from 1 species